AUGGGCACAAUGUGUGAAGCCCAUUUCUGGUGUCCCCUCCCUUGAUAUUGCUGGAAUAUUGCUAAAAGCGGAGUAAAACUAAACUCAGUGUCAGUCAGUCCUUUCAUAUUUUAACACUGUGAAAUCUUAUCCCAAUAAUAUUUUUUAUAACCACACAAAUAUUUAUAUUACGCUUAUUGCUUUGAAAGCAGUUGACAUGUGAAUAAUGUGUUUGUACAUAUAGAUACUACCAUUCUACUAUAGGUGUUGUACUUGGUGUUAAUCUCAAGUUAAUAGUUUAGCAAUCAUGUGUAAUAAUAAAUGGUUGUAGGAAAUUAUCAUAUUUGCAAGAUAGAAAAUAUGAAAUUGAAUUGUUUAUUAUUUCUUGUUUUAGAAUUUUCUGGUACUAAUAUGACCAGACACUGUAGGGCGAGCAGAUAGAGUGUCAGCUUGUCACCCAUCUGGUUGGGUUUGAACCCAGCUUGAGUCGUGUUGGGCACAAUAGUUGAAGCUUAUUUCUGGUGUCUGUUUCUGAGUUUGAAUUCCAUUUUGGCACAACACUGAUGCUUAUGUUUGGUACCUUUGUGUCUGAGUUUGGUUCCCAUGUUGGCACAACAAUGUGAAGCAUAUUUCUAAUCCCACUGUCUCUGGGUUUUAACAGGUGUGUCUGUGUCUGGGUUUGAAUCGCACUUGGGCACAUGUGAGGCUUCCUUCAGGUGUGUCUGGGUUUGAAUCCCACUUGGGCACAUAUGAGGCUUCCUUCAGGUGUGUCUGUGUCAGGGUUUGAAUCCCACUUGGGCACAUAUGAGGCUUCCUUCAGGUGUGUCUGUGUCUGGGUUUGAAUCCCACUUGGGCACAUAUGAGGCUUCCUUCAGGUGUGUCUGUGUCAGGGUUUGAAUCCCACUUGGGCACAUAUGAGGCUUCCUUCAGGUGUGUCUGGGUUUGAAUCCCACUUGGGCACAUAUGAGGCUUCCUUCAGGUGUGUCUGUGUCAGGGUUUGAAUCCCACUUGGGCACAUAUGAGGCUUCCUUCAGGUGUGUCUGGGUUUGAAUCCCACUUGGGCACAUAUGAGGCUUCCUUCAGGUGUGUCUGUGUCUGGGUUUGAAUCCCACUUGGGCACAUAUGAGGCUUCCUUCAGGUGUGUCUGUGUCUGGGUUUGAAUCCCACUUGGGCAAUCCCACUAUGAG
rnacentral:lncRNA from 1 species